rnacentral:rRNA from 1 species
GUCUAUGGCCAUACCACCCUGAAUGCGCCUGAUCUUGGAAGCUAAGCAGGGUUUAGGCCUGGUUAGUACUUGGAUGGGAGACUGCCUGGGAAUACUGGGUGUUGUAGGCU